ensembl:lncRNA
CCUCAACGGAAGCUGAGAACCUUGCUCACUCAUUGGACACAGCGCAUUUCCAUCCAUUUUCAUUUCUCAGCAAAUAAGCUUACAGCUUGUAAGAAGGGAAGUUGCCAUUUGUUGACCCCUCGAGGCUCCACCCCUGUUGCUGACCUUGUCUGCCGCCAUUUUAGUGGCAGCCUUGGUGGGUCCCACCUUGCGCAGCCUUCCUGUCCCAGGGCCUCCACAGCCACUAGCACAGACUGUUUGGCUCAUGUUCAGCUGCCUUCUCUGCCGCCCCCGCCACUUUGGGGUAGGGCCGGCUGCCAGCAGCCUCCCUCUCCUCAGUGGCAGCGACCUUGGUGGCCGCCAUAUUUGCUGCCUUUGUCGCUGCAGCCCCAUUUGCCGCUCCAGUUGAGGUCCUGACUGGUGAGUCCCUCCUGCUAUGUCUGCCUCCAAAAAGCAAGACCAGGACCAACAUAACCAGAGACAACCUGGUUAUGAGGCAGCCCUGGACCCCGGAGCUGUAGGGGGUAUUUUGGCGUCUCAAGAAUGGGUAGUUGAUGUUGAGGCAGAAGUAGUCCCUGAGGAUUUUCAGGAGGCUAUAGAAGACAUUUUUGAGGAGGAGGAGGUUGAGCUGGAUCAGGUCUGGGACCCCAUCGAGAACUGGUUUUUUCCCCUAUUAGAAGAGGACGAGGAGCUGGGAGAGGAGGAAGAAGAGGAGGAGGGGCAGGAACUUGAGGUGCAGGAGGAGAAGGAAAAGGAGGAGGAGGAGGAGAGUGAAAAGGAGGAGGAGGAGAGUGAAAAGGAGGAGGAGGGUGAUGAGGAGGGAGAAGAAGAAAGAGGAGGAAGUUUUUGAAGGAAAGGAGGAGGAUUAUGAAGGAGAUGAGGAAGACAAUGAAGGAGAGCACGAAGACUAUGAAGGAGAGGAGGAGGACUAUGAAGAAGACGAAGAGGAUGAAUUCAAAGAGGGGGACAAGGAGGAGGCUGAGGACGAGGUCAAGGAGCAGAAGGAAGAGGACAACAAAGAGGAUGCUGAAGUUGCUUCUGGCGCCUGUUCUCCUGAGCAUAGAGUGCAGGAUAUUGCUACUCAGUGUAAACAGGAAUAUUUUUUCCGAGAAAGUAUCCCAAUGUCUGUAUUAUGCUUCUCUGAAGAAGUCGCUGAAUAUAAGUAUGAAAAUUCUGAUGAAGAGGAUCAAGAAACUGGAGGCAAGAAGGAGAACGAAGAGGAUGAAAAUGAAGAACUGGGUGAAGGACUCAGAAAGGAUCUAGACUCAGCAGAGGACAGCCCCAUCAAAAAAUCCAGGUAUUCAUCUAUAGUCUUGAGUAUUAGCUAACUAUUUCUGACAUACACCUCUUACUAAUAGCUUUAUGUUUUUAAUUUUUCUGUCAGCUAAAUAAGCAAAAUAUUGGUAAAAUUUGAGAAAGUUUAAUGUUAAUAAUGUAUUUGCAUAUUAGAUAAAUAGAAGGCAAUAUAUUCUGAAAUGCACUUCAUUCAUAGCUACAAUUCCUUUAUCCUGUACCUAUAAGAUUGCUACAGAUGGGAAACCUAUUAGGCCCAGUAGUGGAGAUCAAUACUUGUUCAGAGAAAGGUCAUAAGAAUAAGCAGCAGCAAAGUGGCUG